rnacentral:rRNA from 1 species
UACGUAGGGGGCAAGCGUUGUCCGGAAUUAUUGGGCGUAAAGCGCGCGCAGGCGGUCAUUUAAGUCUUAUGUUUAAACCCAAGGCUCAACCUUGGGGCGCAUGGGAAACUGGGUGGCUUGAGUGUAGGAGAGGAAAGUGGAAUUCCACGUGUAGCGGUGAAAUGCGUAGAGAUGUGGAGGAACACCAGUGGCGAAGGCGACUUUCUGGCCUAUAACUGACGCUGAGGCGCGAAAGCGUGGGGAGCAAACAGG